UACAGAGGUGGCAAGCGUUGUUCGGAAUUACUGGGCGUAAAGGGCGCGUAGGCGGCCAUCUAAGUCAGACGUGAAAUCCCCCGGCUUAACCUGGGAACUGCGUCUGAUACUGGACGGCUCGAGUUUGGGGGAGGGAUGUGGAAUUCCAGGUGUAGCGGUGAAAUGCGUAGAUAUCUGGAGGAACACCGGUGGCGAAGGCGGCAUCCUGGACCAUAACUGACGCUGAGGCGCGAAAGCUAGGGGAGCAAACGGG
rnacentral:rRNA from 1 species